rnacentral:rRNA from 1 species
CCAUAACAUCUAUCAGGUACAGCACUGUGUUCUUGUACAACUUGCACUUUUUUUAAGUGCUUUUUGUUCACGUUCGGGGGGGUCGUGAAGAUUUUACUUGCAAGUAAUUGUACUCGGAAGGGUUAUGAUGACUAUAUAAUAAUCAGACAUAGUACGCUAAGGUAGUAUGUCUAAAGGGAAACAGCCCAGAACAAGAGUUAAUAAGGUUCCAAAAUUAUUGUUAAGUGAAAAUAAGGAAGUUUCAAUGCAAAACGGCCAGGAGAUAGACUUAGAUGCGGCCAUUUUUUAAAGACCUCGUAACAGAGCACUGGUUUAGUAAAUUAUUUUUAUAAUUUAUAUUGAUAAAAGCACCAAAAAUUUAACGGAUCUAAACAAUAUACCGAGACCUUGUCCAUAUUUAUAUAUAUAUCUAAGUUGUAUAUUGUAUUUAUGGGGUAGCGGAACAUUGGGCAAAUCUAAGAUUUUUUCUUUUUAAGACUUAAGAUAAGAUAACCCAAGUGAUAAUGCUGACAUGAGUAACGAUAAAGGGAAUGAACUAUUCCCUCGCCUAAAACUUAUGGUAUUUACUUAAAGUAACGGCCUCUAAGUUUAUGAACCUAAAGGACUAAACGAUGAGAAAA